GUGAAGAACGUAGCAAAAUGCGAUAAGUAAUGUGAAUUGCAGAAUUCAGUGAAUCAUCGAAUCUUUGAACGCACAUUGCGCCCCUUGGUAUUCCGAGGGGCAUGCCUGUUCGAGCGUCAUUAUAACCCCUCAAGCUCAGCUUGGUGUUGGGGCCUGCUGCACUGGCAGCCCUUAAAAUCAGUGGCGGCGCCAUCUGGCUCUAAGCGUAGUAAUUCUUCUCGCUAUGGAGUCCUGGUGGAUGCUUGCCAUCAACCCCCAAUUUUUCUAUGGUUGACCUCGGAUCAGGUAGGGAUACCCGCUGAACUUAAGCAUAUCAAUAAGCGGAGGA
rnacentral:misc_RNA from 1 species